rnacentral:rRNA from 1 species
UACGUAGGGUGCAAGCGUUAAUCGGAAUUACUGGGCGUAAAGCGUGCGCAGGCGGUUAUGUAAGACAGUUGUGAAAUCCCCGGGCUCAACCUGGGAAUUGCAUCUGUGACUGCAUAGCUAGAGUACGGUAGGGGAGGGAGUAGUCGACUCGCGUGUAGCAGUGAAAUGCGUAGAUAUGCGGAGGAACACCGAUGGCGAAGGCAAUCCCCUGGACCUGUACUGACGCUCAUGCACGAAAGCGUGGGGAGCAA